rnacentral:rRNA from 1 species
GGGCCCGCACAAGCGGUGGAGCAUGUGGUUUAAUUCGAUGAUACGCGAGGAACCUUACCAGGGCUUAAAUGUAACGGGACAGAUCUAGAGAUAGAUCCUUCUUCGGACUCAUUACAAGGUGCUGCAUGGUUGUCGUCAGCUCGUGCCGUGAGGUGUCAGGUUAAGUCCUAUAACGAGCGCAACCCCCCAUCGUUAGUUGCCAACGAGUAAUGUCGGGAACUCUAACGAAACUGCCGGUGCAAACCGUGAGGAAGGUGGGGAUGACGUCAAAUCAUCACGGCCCUUACGUCCUGGGCUACACACGUGCUACAAUGGUCGGUACAGAGAGCAGCCACUACGCGAGUAGGAGCUAAUCUUUAAAACCCGGUCUC